AAGGGUGAGCAACAAUGCUCAGCAAGUAAUAAUAAACAAUGAUAGUUCUGAAAUGAUAUAAUAGAAGUUCACGAGUUCAAGAUAUAAAAGGAUUCAACCUGAGUUCACGAGUUCAUGGUAUUGUAUAGAAUGAUUUACAAUACCUUGCAGCAUUUAAACUGAGAAAUUCAAUCUUUCCAAAGAAUUAUUGAAUUGGACUAUCACAUUUUAAUUAAAACCAAGGUUAGGCAGCUGAUCAGUUCCGCACUAACCCCGAGCAGGCCCCGCCAUGCUCUAUCACUGGAUCCAAGGCACUCAUUGGCCUAACAUGACCACGAAUCUGGUCCACAGGUUUAUAUAAAAACAAUAAUCCAAUUCUCUAAUUCAAUUCAAGAAGCCAAUGUAAAUUAACAGAACAUCAUAAUAAAUAUCAUCAACAACAGAAUAAUUCCAAUUCAAACUUUGAUAAUAAUCUAUUCAUAAAUCAUGAUCCAUCAUUUCAUAAAUCACAGUUCAGGAAAUCCUCAACUAUUCAGUAUCCUCCAUUAUCGGCUAAGCAACUGAAUUUAGCCUGCUAAACCAGCAUGACAAUGGCGGGUUGAAUAAUCAAGAAGAUCCCAAUUCAUUCAAAGCUCUAACUAUCACUGAGCAACACAUGCUUCAAUGACAAUCUGAACUUCGAAUUAAUUUGUAAAACGGAAAUUCUUUAGAAACUUGAAGAUUAGAAAGAAUGGGUCAGAAUACUCGCACUUUCGAACAUUGAAAAGAAAGGUAUGAAUACUUGAAACAUAUACCAAAGGAAUGGAUCAGAAUAAUUGCAAUAUAUCCAAGAGAAAGGUUUAGGAUACUUGCAACAUAUACCAAAGGAAUGGAUCAGAAUAUUUGCAAUAUAUCCAAAAGAAAGGUGUAGGAUACUUGCCUUAAAUCUGACUCCAGUCUCACAUCUCUAUCUCAUCUUUCCAAUCUCAUACUCUAUGCAUAUCAUAGUCUCUAGACCAUCUCUGGCUAUACCCUAUUCGCCACACCACUUCACUUACUCGACUCAUUCUUUAUUCGUUUUGGAACACCACCUGUCCUUCUGAACGUCUUCGGUCGUCUACGUCUCGUCCAAAUC
rnacentral:lncRNA from 1 species